AACGCAUCUUGCGCCCCUUGGUAUUCCUGGGGGCAUGCCUGUUUGAGUGUCAUUUCUCACUCUCGGUGGACAAAUUGCAAAUUUGGCCCGCCGGACGAUGAAGGUUGCUGACGCCUCAGCUCCUUUGAAAUGCAUGAGCAGAAAAACGAGCUUUUGUCAGCUUCGGUUUGUUAUGUUUUCUGGACCGUUGCUGAUGUCGUCCCUGCUGCUGCUUGUCUCUAAUACUAGAGACUGUCCGCCUUGUGCGGGCAACAAAGUUUUCAACCAUGACCUCAAAUCAGGUAGGAUUACCCGCUGAACUUAA
rnacentral:misc_RNA from 1 species